GUGAGGAAUAUUGGACAAUGGGCGCAAGCCUGAUCCAGCCAUGCCGCGUGCAGGAAGACGCAUCUAUGGUGUGUAAACUGCUUUUGUACGGGAAGAAACACUCCCUCGUGAGGGAGCUUGACGGUACCGUAAGAAUAAGGAUCGGCUAACUCCGUGCCAGCAGCCGCGGUAAUACGGAGGAUCCAAGCGUUAUCCGGAAUCAUUGGGUUUAAAGGGUCCGUAGGCGGUUUAAUAAGUCAGUGGUGAAAGCCCAUCGCUCAACGAUGGAACGGCCAUUGAUACUGUUAGACUUGAAUUACAAGGAAGUAACUAGAAUAUGUAGUGUAGCGGUGAAAUGCUUAGAUAUUACAUGGAAUAUCAAUUGCGAAGGCAGGUUACUACUUGUGGAUUGACGCUGAUGGACGAAAGCGUGGGGAGCGAACAGGAUUAGAUACCCUGGUAGUCC
rnacentral:rRNA from 1 species